UACGUAGGGUGCAAGCGUUUAAUCGGAAUUACUGGGCGUAAAGCGUGCGCAGGCGGUUAUGCAAGACAGAUGUGAAAUCCCCGGGCUCAACCUGGGAACUGCAUUUGUGACUGCAUGGCUGGAGUGCGGCAGAGGGGGAUGGAAUUCCGCGUGUAGCAGUGAAAUGCGUAGAUAUGCGGAGGAACACCGAUGGCGAAGGCAAUCCCCUGGGCCUGCACUGACGCUCAUGCACGAAAGCGUGGGGAGCAAACAGG
rnacentral:rRNA from 1 species